rnacentral:lncRNA from 1 species
AACAAAGUAUGAACUCAAUUUAUGUUACACACACUUCCUUUUAUAGAGGAAGUGCAAGGCAAAGCAUGGGUAAAAUGGAGUGGUGUUGAAAUGAUUCAAAGGUGAAAGUGAAGUAAUGAUGCAAAGCAUGGGUAAAAUGGAGUGGUGUUGAAAUGAUUUAAAGGUGAAAGUGAAGUAAUGAUGCAAAGCAUGGGUAAAAUGGAGUGGUGUUGAAAUGAUUCAAAGGUGAAAGUGAAGUGAUGAUUGAUGCAAGAAUUAAACAUGGAUGGAGUGCACGGCAAAGGUUUGUUAUGGUACAAGGAACCCUUAAUUUGUGUCCUAAAAUGCAUAGGAAACCUUCAAUGUUGCUGGAACUUAGGGACAUUUAGGAUUUAGGAAAGAUCAAACCAAAAUAGGAAACCUUGGCUUAACUUUCCUACUUCAAGUAGGAAUCCUCAUCUUUAGGUCUUCAAUUUCGUCCAUUCCUUUAAUUCCAAGCAUGUGAUAUUUAUUCCAAGCCCAAAAUUGCUCCAAAAGGCUCCAAAAUGCACAUUUUUGCAUACUUUGUCCUUAGAACCAGAAAUUGCACA